UACGAGGGGGGCAAAUGUUGUUCGGAAUCACUGGGCGUAAAGGGCGCGUAGGCGGCUCAUGAAGGCUGUGGUGAAAGUCCGGGGCUCAACCUCGGAUCGGCCGUGGCGACUCGUGGGCUGGAGCACUGUAGAGGCGGGUGGAAUUCCGGGUGUAGCGGUGGAAUGCGUAGAGAUCAGGAAGAACACCCGUGGCUAAGGCGGCUCUCUAGUACGGUACUGACGCUGAGACGCGAAAGCGUGGGGAGCGAACAGG
rnacentral:rRNA from 1 species